AUGUAGACCUUUUGUUCAGAGGAAUUGAAGGUAUUCUUUCGAGACCAAGUUCUUUCCUCUUUCGUCCACAUUUCCCCUUCCUUUUAUUGGAAAGAUCAACCUCUUCCCCUUUACACUCUUGUUCUUUUGCUUGUUUCCAUAUCUUUUCGACGGUUCUGAGACUUGUUUUGAGAAUUUCAGCUAGAUGCUCUUUGUCUUUCUUCACAAUUGGUCGGUCUUUGCUCAGUAAUUUUAAUGCAACAUAUGCUGCAAAUUUGUGAGUAUCUGGUAGAUCUGUAUGGUGUGGAUGCUUAACACCUGCAAGUUUGUGAUAUGCAGGAAGGUGUUAAAUAUCAAACAGGACACUUCUGGUCAAGUGAGCAUAGCAUCAUGCUAAAUAUUCAUGUUAACAGUAAUGUGAUGAAAAUAGAGCGUACGUGUACCUGCAGGUAUAUGUGCUUCUUGUCCAUAUUCCUCUUCUGGACUGAAGUUGAGAUUCAGGAUUGUCCCUCCAUCAUGCUGCUCUUGUGGAGGAGUUAAGUUGAUAUCCAAGAACAGAACCAUCCUCUCCUCUUGUGGACUGGGCUAGCUGCGGAAAAGCAAUCAGUGAAACUGCAGAUCGAGGCUGGUCAUGGCGUUGCUCAUGGAAUUGGCCAUGCUUCUAAGACAAGCGUCCAUGGCCUUGGCUAGGGUGGGCAUGCGCCACAAGGAUGCGGUACAUUGGACGUGGUCACACACAAGGGAGGGGAAAUGCAGAGGAAUAGAGGGCGAGCUCACCGGCGUGGCCUUGGUGGCUCAGCUCCUUCGCGCUGGAACGGGAACAGGGGCCCGGGGGCGGCAACGACGAGGACGGCGGAGGAGCUUCGGUGCUCCGGCAGCUCCGUCCUUCCCCGCCCCGGUACCCUCCACUCGCACAGCCUUGAUCGCUCGACUCCUUCGCGCUGGAACGGGAACAGGGGCUGGGGGUGGCGGCGACGAGGACGGUGGAGGAGCUUCAAUGCUCCAGCGACUCCUUGCUCCCCCGCUCUGGCAGUCUCCACCAGCGGGGCCCUGCUCGAGCCCUCCGCCGGCGAGGGGAGGAGCCGCGCGACCCUACAGUCUCAGCACACGGGAGGAGCAGGGCGACCCCCGCGAGAGCGGGCGACCCCCGCGGGAGCCCUCUGAUGGCGGAGGACUGCGGCCGGCCGGCAGGAUCGACGGAGACGAGGGAGACGACGGAGACGAAGAAGACGCUAGUUUGAAAUUUCAAUUUGGAGUCCUAAUUUCAAAGAUUUUAUAUGUAUGAGGUAGCUUUUUGCAAAAAUGUAUUUAUGCUGUGCCCGCGUCGGUUAAAUGGAGCCGGAGGGAGUA